CCCGCCGGCGACCGGCGCACGGGUGAGUAACACGUAUGAAACCUGCCCGUAGCAGGGGGAUAAGCGGAAGAAAUUCCGUCUAAUACCGCGUAACAACCCAUGGAGGCAUCUCUGUGGGUUUAAAGGAAGCGAUUCCGGCUACGGAUGGUCAUGCGUCGCAUUAGUUUGUUGGCGGGGUAACGGCCCACCAAGGCGACGAUGCGUAGGGGUUCUGAGAGGAAGGUCCCCCACACUGGUACUGAGACACGGACCAGACUCCUACGGAAGGCAGCAG
rnacentral:rRNA from 1 species